GACGAACCGUCCGAACGUUGUUCGGAAUAACUGGGCUUAAAGGGUGCGUAGGCGGGUCCGGCAGUCUGUGGUGAAAUCCUCCCGCUCAACGGGAGAACUGCCGUGGAUACUGCGGACCUCGAGGAAGAUAGGGGCGUGCGGAACAGUUGGUGGAGCGGUGAGAUGCGUUGAUAUCAACUGGAACUCCGGUGGCGAAGGCGGCGCGCUGGGUCUUUUCUGACGCUGAGGCACGAAAGCUAGGGGAGCAAACGGG
rnacentral:rRNA from 1 species